UGCUGGAGCGGCGCGAGGUGCGCGGGGCGCUGCGGGCGGUCCUGAGUGCCAGCCCCGAGCAGUUGCGGCUGUUCGACCUGGAAUUCAACGCC
rnacentral:tRNA from 2 species